CCGCCCGUAGCUCAGCGGUAGAGCAGCUCCCUUUUAAGGAGACGGUCGUAGGUUCGAUCCCUACCGGGCGGA
rnacentral:tRNA from 1 species